rnacentral:lncRNA from 1 species
AUAUCAGACCAAAAAUACAUCUACAUAAAUUCUCACACAAACAUACAAACAGUCACACACAAUGCAUAGCUUAGUCCAAAUUAUUUCAAAAGAAUAAAAAGGAAAUAGAUGCUACGACAAAGAAAGAAAAUAUUGAUAUAAUAGAGAAUAGAAAUCCGGAACCCAUGUGACUCAAUGGCCGCUCUUCUCAGCAAUUCGUGGUGGCCCAGCCAUAGAAAGCA